CCUUGAAGAUGAUGAUGAUGAUGAUGAUGAUGAUGAUGAUGGGACUAUUAUAGUCCCAUCAUCAUCAUCAUCAUCAUUGCUGACGUCAUCAUCAUCA
rnacentral:pre_miRNA from 1 species